rnacentral:lncRNA from 1 species
UCACUCUUCUUGUGGGAAUAUUCCGGAUAUAAGCUACCCUUUCCGACUGAAAGAUGACCGACCCAGGUGUGGAGACAGGAAGUAUGAACUGGCUUGUGAGAAUAAUCGCACAAUCUUACACUUGUGGGAAAAUUUUUUGGCUAUCAUUUCUUUGAUUAAAUGAUUUGUAACUUGAAAACCAAAAAGGAACAAAGAAAAAAAAAAUGCAAAAAAGAGAAUGAUCUACCAAAAGAAAAAAAGAUGAACCCCAAAUAGUUAGCAUAGAUACAUUGAAGCCUCUUCCACCAAAUCAAUUAGGUGAAAUAUGGGUUCGAGGACCAAACAUGAUGCAGGGCAAAGUUUGAUCAAAAGUUUGUGUUAGUUCCUCUUCGCAACGAUUUCUAACAACAAGUGACCUUAUUUGAAUCUCCCAAUUAAUUAGGAUCCAUUCAAAUUGAACCAUCUUAAUUCAUUUAGAAAGGAAACAUGGUGGUUAAGACAUCAAUUUUGGUUAAAAUCAAAUUAUUAAUGUUUUAAUUUUGCCUUGUAUUGACUUGUGAAGCCAAACAAUGUAUUCCAAAUCAGACUGCUUAAUCUCACAAGUGGCUUGCCUUUUGCUGUGGGACCUCCUAAGCUAACCCUCAUCUUGCUAACAUCUGAUUUGCCAAAUUAGGCGGAUUAGACCUGUCAGACAUGUUAUAACAUAUAACUGAACACCUAAGAUUCAAAGUUUGAUUCUUUCAAUUGGUCUUUCAAUUAGACCUCUAUGACAUAUGUGAAAUAUAAAAUUGCUUUUGAAUUUUGUAUCUCUUUAUACCAUUGAGUUUCAAAUAUUCUACAUUAAGGAAAAGAGGUGCUCAAUAAAAGAGAAUGAAAGAAUGGUAAGAUUAUCAUUCUCAGAUAUUUAUAAGCCAAUCUUGGCUAUUAUACCUUGAUUUGUAGCUAACUCUCUCAGGAUGUGAAUUGCCUGAGAUAUGGUGGCCUCAAAUGAAAAAAGAAAGGAAAGGGAAAAACCAACCAGAAAGAAAAGGAAUUUGAUAAUUAGUAAAUUGUCGGGAAGAAAAAGCAAAUGCCUUCAACCUAGUAGAUCAAAUUAGUAAAAUGUCUCUCCUGUAAGCAUCAAAAUUUCCACUCAAAGAAAAAAUAUCAAGCUUAUGUCAAUCAGCUGAAUUAAAAAUGAAAAAAUGAGCCUAAAAAAUCAAUUCCUAAUUUUGAGAAGUUAGAAAAUCACAAAAUUGCAUUUGCCCCAUACAUGAGAUAACAGGAUUUGUAUAGAAGUAAAAGAAUGGUUGGUGAAAAACAAAUGUUGAAGUCCAUUUAAGAUUACCACUUGAAUCCUAAGAAAUGAAAAUUGAGGGAGGUAAAUUAGGAAGCCUUUUCCCUCCUUCAAAAUUGCAUAAACCCCAAAACCUAUCAAAAUUUUCUCCUGAAUAGCAAUUAUACAUGAGAUAAAUAUAGUUAAAUGACAUGAAUUUCAACAUCUGAAUUUUUAGAUUUUUGACAAAAUGCUUCUAGUCCAUACCCAUUAAUUUCGAUAAACUUAAUAUUCAUUUUCCCCCUUCUUCUUAGUGUUUACAUGAAGAACAAAAAUAGUCUAAGGGGGUUACUUUGAUGGAUUCAAAAUAAAAAAUAAAUAAAUAGAUAAAUAAAAUGAAAAAAAAAAAAAGGAAACAAGAUCAAGAUGAGUCAAAAGUGUAGCAUCCUAAUUAGGGUGCAAAAUGAAGAGCUUUGCUCUAUCCGAAGCUUCCAUAGUCUUUGAUUUUAUUAGGUACAGACAAGGCACUAUAAUAAUAGUAGACUGCAUUGAAUUUCUUCAUGUCACUAAAAUUUUCAACUUCAUCUUAUGCACGGAAGACAAAAAAAAACACAAAAGAGAAGGAACACGAGCAAUCAUUGCUUCCAAGCUAAGCUUUGAUGCACAUGAAAAUGGAAAGAAGAAUAAGAGUGCAGAGAUGAGGUAUGUGAAAGUAUGGUGAGGGAUUGAUGCUCAUAAUAAUUAGUAAAUAUAUACCAGGGAAUCCAAACACAAACCCUAACCUUAACCCUAACCAGAAAAAGAGAGGUGGGAGGAAAUAGAAGUGAUGAAAAGAAACCUAAUUUGAAAUCAAAGAAAGAAAGAAAGGAAUAACAGAGUGUGAAGCCGUGGAAGGAAUCGAAAGAAUACCUGGAAGAUGUGGGCGAUGAAGUGGCUAAAGAAAUUGGUCGUUGAGCGAGUUGGUCAUUGAUCUAAGCCCCCUCAGUGAUGAGGAUGUCAGUGACGACAACAAUCUAGUCGGAGAAACAUACAGUGAUGAGGAUGGGAGAAGAGUUCGAUGGUCUGUAAUGGUGGCUAAGAAGAGUGAAUGAUAAAAGACAUGGCUCUCAAUGGGUUCAGCAGUCUAAAGUGAGCAGGAGAGAUAGUGCUUAUAUCGUGGCUCUAUGGUCGCG